rnacentral:rRNA from 1 species
AUUGAACGCUGGCGGCAGGCCUAACACAUGCAAGUCGAACGAGUGGCGGACGGGUGCGUAAUGUCUGGGCAACUGACUGUUGGAGGGGGAUAACUACUGGACACGGUCGCUAAUACCGCAUACCAUCGGAUGUGCCCAGAUGGGAUUAGCUAGUAGGUGGGGUAAAGGCUCACCUAGGCGACGAUCCCUAGCUGGUCUGAGAGGAGUACCAGCCACACUGGAACUGAGACACGGGCCAGACUCCUACGGGAGGCAGCAGUGGGGAAUGUUGCACAAUGGUCGCAAGCCUGAUGCAGCCAUGCCGCGUGUAUGAAGAAGGCCUUCGGGUUGUAAAGUACUUUCAGCGGGAAGGCGUUACCCGCAGAAGAAGCACCGGCUAACUCCGUGCCAGCAGCCGCGGUAAUUC